CAUCCUGGGGCUGUAGUAGGUCCCAAGGGUUGGGCUGUUCGCCCAUUAAAGUGGUACGCGAGCUGGGUUCAGAACGUCGUGAGACAGUUCGGUCCCUAUCCGUCGCAGGCGUAGGCAAUUUGAGAAGACCUGUCCUUAGUACGAGAGGACCGGGCUGGACGUACCUCUGGUGUACCAGUUGUCCUGCCAAGGGCAUGGCUGGGUAGCUAUGUACGGAAUGGAUAAGCGCUGAAAGCAUCUAAG
rnacentral:rRNA from 1 species